AAUGAACGUUGGCGGCGUGGAUUAGGCAUGCAAGUCGAACGGGUCCGGUUCGCCGGACCAGUGGCGGAAGGGUGAGUAAGGCGACGGCAACCAACCCCGAGGUCGGGCAUAGCCGCGGGA
rnacentral:rRNA from 1 species